rnacentral:rRNA from 1 species
GAUGAACGCUGGCGGCGUGCCUAAUACAUGCAAGUCGAGCGAACAGACGAGGAGCUUGCUCCUCUGACGUUAGCGGCGGACGGGUGAGUAACACGUGGAUAACCUACCUAUAAGACUGGGAUAACUUCGGGAAACCGGAGCUAAUACCGGAUAAUAUAUUGAACCGCAUGGUUCAAUAGUGAAAGACGGUUUUGCUGUCACUUAUAGAUGGAUCCGCGCCGCAUUAGCUAGUUGGUAAGGUAACGGCUUACCAAGGCAACGAUGCGUAGCCGACGUGAGAGGGUGAUGGCCCACUCUGGAGCUGAGACACGACCCAGGCACCGACGGGAGGCAGCAGUAGGGAAGGUACCGAAAUGGGCGAAAGCCUGACGGAGCAACGCCGCGGGGGUGAUGAAGGUCUGCGGAUCGUAAAACUCUGUUAUUAGGGAAAAACAAAUGUGUAAGUAACGAUGCACGUCUGGACGGUACCUAAUCAGAAAGCCACGGCUAACUACGU